rnacentral:rRNA from 1 species
GACGAACGCUGGCGGCGUGCUUAACACAUGCAAGUCGAACGGUAAGGCCCUUCGGGGUACACGAGUGGCGAACGGGUGAGUAACACGUGGGUGAUCUGCCCUGCACUUCGGGAUAAGCCUGGGAAACUGGGUCUAAUACCGGAUAGGACCAUGGACUUCACGGUUUGUGGUGGAAAGCUUUUGCGGUGUGGGAUGGGCCCGCGGCCUAUCAGCUUGUUGGUGGGGUAAUGGCCUACCAAGGCGACGACGGGUAGCCGGCCUGAGAGGGUGUCCGGCCACACUGGGACUGAGAUACGGCCCAGGACUCCUACGGGAGGCAUCAGUGGGAAUAUUGCACAAUGGGCGCAAGCCUGAUGCAGCGACGCCGCGUGAGGGAUGA